rnacentral:rRNA from 1 species
GACAGAGGGUGCAAACGUUGUUCGGAAUUACUGGGCGUAAGCGAGUGUAGGCGGUCUUGAAAGUCGGAUGUGAAAGCCCUGGGCUCAACCAGGAAGUGCAUUCGAUACUCCAAGGCUAGAGUACUGGAGAGGUGGGGUGGAAUUCUCGGUGUAGAGGUGAAAUUCGUAGAUAUCGAGAGGAACACCGGCGGCGAAGGCGGCCCACUGGACCAGAUGACUGACCGCUGAGACUCGAAAGCGUGGGAGCAAACAGG